rnacentral:rRNA from 1 species
CCUACGGGUGGCAGCAGUGAGGAAUAUUGGUCAAUGGCCGGAAGGCUGAACCAGCCAAGCCGCGUGAAGGACGAAGGUGCCAAGCAUUGUAAACUUCUUUUGUCAAGGGACAAAAUCAGGCUCGAGAGCCUGACCGAGGGUACUUGAAGAAAAAGCAUCGGCUAACUCCGUGCCAGCAGCCGCGGUAAUACGGAGGAUGCGAGCGUUAUCCGGAUUUAGUGGGGUUAAGGGGUGCGUAGGCGGACUGUUAAGUCAGCGGUAAAAGCCCGGGGCUAAACCCCGGCGAGCCGUUGAAACUGGCUGUCUUGAGAUGUCGAGAGGUAUGCGGAAUGCGCAGUGUAGCGGUGAAAUGCUUAGAGAUUGCGCAGAACUCCGAUGGCGAAGGCAGCAGACCGGCGGCGAUCUGACGCUGAGGCACGAAAGCGUGGGGAUCGAACAGGAUUAGAUACUCUUGUAGUC